UAUCCUAAUGAUGUCACAUAGACCCACGUGUAAUAGCCCCCUCUAGAAGUCAGCAGGGGUAUAUCCUAAUGAUGUCACAUACACCCACAUGUAAUAGCCCCCUCUAGAGGUCAGCAGGGGUAUAUCCUAAUGAUGUCACAUAGACCCACGUGUAAUAGCCCCCUCUAGAGGUCAGCAGGGGUAUUUCCUAAUGAUGUCACAUAGACCCACGUGUAAUAGCCCUCUCUAGAGGUCAGCAGGGGUAUAUCCUGAUGAUGUCACAUAGACCCAUGUGUAAUAGCCCCCUCUAGAGGUCAGCGGGGGUAUAUCCUAAUUAUGUCACAUAGACCCAUGUGUAAUAGCCCCCUCUAGAGGUCAGCGGGGGUAUAUCCUGAUGAUGUCACAUAGAACCACGUGUAAUAGCCCCCUCUAGAGGUCAGCGGGGGUAUAUCCUGAUGAUGUCACAUAGAUCCACGUGCUAUAG